rnacentral:rRNA from 1 species
CCUACGGGAGGCAGCAGUGGGGAAUAUUGCACAAUGGGCGCAAGCCUGAUGCAGCAACGCCGCGUGAGGGACGACGGCCUUCGGGUUGAAACCUCUUUUAGUAGGGAAGCGGUACCUGCAGAAAAAGCACCGGCUAACUACGUGCCAGCAGCCGCGGUAAUACGUAGGGUGCAAGCGUUAUCCGGAAUUAUUGGGCGUAAAGAGCUCGUAGGCGGUUUGUCGCGUCUGCUGUGAAAACUGGAGGCUCAACCUCCAGCCUGCAGUGGGUACGGGCAGACUAGAGUGCGGUAGGGGAGAUUGGAAUUCCUGGUGUAGCGGUGGAAUGCGCAGAUAUCAGGAGGAACACCGAUGGCGAAGGCAGAUCUCUGGGCCGUACUGACGCUGAGGAGCGAAAGCAUGGGGAGCGAACAGGAUUAGAUACCCUUGUAGUC